rnacentral:rRNA from 1 species
GUCCACGCCCUAAACGAUGUCAACUGGUUGUUGGGAAGGUUUCUUCUCAGUAACGUAGCUAACGCGUGAAGUUGACCGCCUGGGGAGUACGGCCGCAAGGUUGAACUCAAAGGAAUUGACGGGGACCCGCACAAGCGGUGGAUGAUGUGGUUUAAUUCGAUGCAACGCGAAAAACCUUACCUACCCUUGACAUGCCAGGAAUUACAUAGAGAUGUGGAAGUGCUCGAAAGAGAGCCUGGGCACAGGUGCUGCAUGGCCGUCGU